GUGAAUCAUCGAAUUUUUGAACGCAAAUUGCACUCUCUGGUAUUCCGGAGAGUAUGCCUGUUUGAGGGUCAGUUUAAAUAAAAAUCGGUGUGGUUGCUGCCUUUCGUGGUGACGCACCGGAUGUGGGUCGUCUUGCCUUCGGUUAAGUGACCUAAAAUUUUGCAUGAUUUUUUCAACCGAUUUUAAUUCUUUUUCCGUACUUUUGCGUCAUCGAUUACUA
rnacentral:misc_RNA from 1 species